rnacentral:lncRNA from 1 species
AAAAAUGAAGUAUUGAAAAAAUGUAUAAUAAAAACAACACGUGUAUAUAUUUCAAGUCUUCAAAUAUUAUACGAUACUAUACAAAUAUAAAAUACAUAUAUCCCCCAUUUUAUAAUAAUAAUAAUUUACAAGGUUUGGCACGUGUUAGUUACACAAUCAUGCAUCCAAGUCCCAACAAUAACAUGAUACACGUGCGCCAUACAUGUGUUUUAAUAACCCCAAACUGAUAAAUAAAUAUUUUAUUAAAUUAAAAUUUCAUACACGAGUUCUUUAUUCGGUUUCCAGGUGGACACGUACGUUUUCACGUGAAUUACAAAAUGAUUUUCACUUUAAUUUGGCUUUUCACAGAACAAUCAUACGAGAAAGAAACACCAGCACAACUUUUAACGUGCAUAUCACUUGUAUGCUCUUUGUUUUUUUAUUUGUCUUCUCAAUACCUAAAAUUCCGAUUACAUGUUAAUAUAUAUAUAUAUACUCCAAAUGAACUGACAAAAAAAAAAACAAAGAGCAUACACUCACAAUUCUAUUCCAGUGUUCAUUUGUCAGUCCAAAUUCUGGGAAGUCCUCGAGAAUACUUUCCAAAUUCCACCACAAUCAACUUCAUCCAAAAGAAUCAACAGGGUAAUUGCAAGGACAAGCAGAUAACAACUGCUUUUUCUUGCCACUCACAUCUCAGUGUGAUUGGAAGAAGUAAAAUAAGAAGACAGGAAGAAAGCAUUAAUUACUAACACAAGCUUCCAUGUCAUCUGCUUUAUCAACCUUUCACAAAGCCAAAAGAAAAAUGCUUCAGCUAUAUUCUCUCCUAACUCACUUGCUGUUCUGACUACCCUACAGAUCAUUUAACAUGGAAUAAACAAUUACUAUAGACCUGACAGCCUCCAACAUGGUUAAACUAUUGUCAAUGGAGACGAAUUCAGUUUUAAUAGGAUGUGGAAACCUUGUCCUACUAACUUCCAAACUUCCAUCUUCACUUAUAAUUUCAGAAUUUCAGUCUUAACACUAAUCAAGCUAAAGGACAAGGCAGGCAGGCCAAAAAAAAGCCUUUAUAAGACUCAUCCAUUCUUCCAGAGGGGGGCAUUGAUCUACCAAAAUAAGUCACUCUAGAAAAUACGACACGGAAGAAAAUAGAGAAUGGGAGGCUAAAACAAAAAUCUCCACCUACUCAACCAAAAAUGAUGAUACUACUACCCAGUUCCACUGACAAAAUAGACUCAUUUCACCUAAUUUAACCCAAAAAGGAGAAACAAAAUAUGAAAAAGAAAAAAAAAAAAAAAAAGGUAUGCAUGCAAGUCAACCACAGUAGGAUACCACAGGCGUACACACCCAUGGUUUAAGUAUCUAAAAUUUACACCCAAGAAAAGAAACUUCAAUUUAAAUAUGGUUUUCUUAAUACAGGAAGCCGUGGUUCCUGUUGAUAAUCAUAUCCUUCAAGACAUCCGGAACACCAAGUGCUAGUAACUUCACUUGCCACCCAAGGAGGGGAACUGCCCUGGAUCUUCAAUGGAGGGUGCUGGUGCAUUGCUNNNNN